rnacentral:rRNA from 1 species
CUGGCGGCGUGCCUAAUACAUGCAAGUCGAACGGCUUUUCUAUGGAAGCUUGCUUCCACUGAGAAGAUAGUGGCGAACGGGUGAGUAACACGUGGGUAACCUGCCCAUAAGAGGGGGAUAACAUCCGGAAACGGGUGCUAAUACCGCAUAGUUUUCUUGAUCGCAUGAUUGGGAAAGGAAAGACGGCCUUUGUGCUGUCGCUUAUGGAUGGACCCGCGGCGUAUUAGUUAGUUGGUGAGGUAACGGCUCACCAAGACGAUGAUACGUAGCCGACCUGAGAGGGUGAUCGGCCACAUUGGGACUGAGACACGGCCCAAACUCCUGCGGGAGGCAGCAGUAGGGAAUCUUCCGCAAUGGACGAAAGUCUGACGGAGCAACGCCGCGUGAGUGAAGAAAAGGUUUUCGGAUCGUAAAACUCUGUUGUCAGAGAAGAACAAGUUGGAGAGUAACUGCUCUAGCCUUGACGGUAUCUGACCAGAAAGCCACGGCUAACUACGUGCCAGCAGCCGC